rnacentral:rRNA from 1 species
GAUGAACGCUGGCGGCGUGCCUAAUACAUGCAAGUCGAGCGAACAGAUGAGGAGCUUGCUCCUCUGACGUUAGCGGCGGACGGGUGAGUAACACGUGGAUAACCUACCUAUAAGACUGGGAUAACUUCGGGAAACCGGAGCUAAUACCGGAUAAUAUAUUGAACCGCAUGGUUCAAUAGUGAAAGACGGUUUUGCUGUCACUUAUAGAUUGAUCCGCGCCGCAUUAGCUAGUUGGUAAGGUAACGGCUUACCAAGGCAACGAUGCGUAGCCGACCUGAGAGGGUGAUCGGCAACACUGGAAAUGAGACACGGUCCAGACUCCUACGGGAGGCAGCAGUAGGGAAUAUUCCGAAAUGGGCGAAAGCAUGACGGAGCAACGCCGCGUGAGUGAUGAAGGUCUUCGGAUCGUAAAACUCUGUUAUUAGGGAAGAACAAAUGUGUAAGUAACUAUGCACGUCUUGACGGUACCUAAUCAGAAAGCCACGGCUAACUACGUG